rnacentral:lncRNA from 1 species
UAGUUCUAGUUGUAUAUAGUUAGAUAGUUGUUUAUUCACUUUCUUAAUAGUUGUUAUAUAGUUAAAGGGGAUUAAGGGGGUUGUCUCCCCCUUUUUCUCCCGGCGCGUGGCCGGGCUCAUGCCCAAGGCUCCCGGCUUCAAACAGUGCGCCUCCUGCGCUAAGCCUAUGCCAACGAGUGACCCGCACGACUCGUGUCUGAAGUGCCUGGGAGAGUCCCAUCAGACAGAUAAGUGCAAGAUCUGUAAGGCCUUCAGGCCGAGGACCAAGAAGGAGCGGGACUUUUGGCUCCGGCAACUCCUUAUGGAGGCGGCACUUAGCCCGGACGCUCCAUCGGCGUGUCAGGCCCCGGCACCUAGCAUCUCGGUGCGCAGUGCCCCGGCGGCACCGACCAUUCCGACCACGUCGGACAAGCCUCCACGGCACCGGACCUCGUCGGCACCGCACUCACAGCAAGUGCCUCGGCGCCGUUCAUCAUCCCCGGGACAUAAAAAAUCCCAUAAGAUGGGGACUGCCGUGCCGAAGACGCCGGCUCCCCCGGUGCCGGGGGUAGAGCCGCGUCCGCCUGUGGAGCACCGAAAACAGGUGCCUCCAGCACCGUCGACUCCGGCUCCGAGACCGUUGAGUCCGGUGCAGACAGGGUCACCACCGCGACCGGCGGUGAUACAGUGCCUCCCGUCGACCCCAGAGACCUUCGCGACGGCGAGAGACUUGAUCGCUCUCACGGAGCCGGCACCGCCCCAACCACCGGCACCGUCGGCACCGUUGACUCGUCCGGUCCAAUCCACGGGGAAACCUGCCUUGAUGCGUCCUCCAUCGCAGGGGCUGGAACCACGGCACCGGUCCAGGUCCCGAAGCAGGUCCCCACGCCGCUCGCAGUCCCGGCGCCGGAUAUCACCUCGGCACCGGUCGUACUCGCGGCCAAGAUCAUCUUCGCGGCACCACUCUACGUCUCGGCACCGCUAUGAUCGUCGGCACCGAUCGACAUCGAGACGUAGUUCUCGGCACCGAUACGAUCGACGCUCGACGUCGAGAGGCCGCUCCCGGCACCGGGCCUAUUCAAGAUCCAAUUC